rnacentral:rRNA from 1 species
GAUCCUGGCGUCAGGAUGAACGCUAGCUACAGGCUUAACACAUGCAAGUCGAGGGGGCGAUCAGGAAGAAAGCUUGCUUUCUUUUGCUGGCGACCGGCGCACGGGUGAGUAACACGUAUCCAACCUGCCCUUUACUCGGGGAUAGCCUUUCGAAAGAAAGAUUAAUACCCGAUAGUAUAAUGAUUCCGCAUGGUUUCAUUAUUAAAGGAUUCCGGUAAGGAUGGGGAUGCGUUCCAUUAGGUUGUUGGUGAGGUAACGG